ensembl:scaRNA small Cajal body-specific RNA 14
GUGGCUGCAGUUGGAAUUGGUUGCAUUUGUUAAUCGUAUGAGUGUGACUCCCAACAGCCACGUACAGAAAUCUAUUGGCUCCCACGGCAGAUCCUGUCCAGUCAUCAGGUCUUCUGUGAAUUGCUGCCACGUA